GGGCCCGCACAAGCAGCGGAGCGUGUGGUUUAAUUCGAUGUUACACGAAGAACCUUACCAGGGUUUGACAUGCAAGUGGUAGGAAGCCGAAAGGUGACCGACCCUUCGGGGAGCUUGCACAGGUGCUGCAUGGCUGUCGUCAGCUCGUGUCGUGAGAUGUUCGGUUAAGUCCGCUAACGAGCGCAACCCUCGCUGUGUGUUAUAUGUGUCACACGGGACUGCCGGUCUUAAGCCGGAGGAAGGUGGGGAUGAUGUCAAGUCAGCAUGGCCUUUAUAUCCUGGGCUACACACACCCUACAAUGGCCAACACAAUAGGUUGCUAAGCCGCGAGGUGGCGCCAAUCCAUAAAGUUGGUCUCAGUUCAGAUUGUAGGCUGCAACCCGCCUGCAUGAAGAUGGAGUUGCUAGUAACCGCAGGUCAGCUAUACUGCGGUGAAUACGUUCCCGGGGCUU
rnacentral:rRNA from 1 species